GCCUAGCGCCGGCGCGGAUCGAUAUCUCGGUGGCCCGCGUGGCGUGCGGCCACGUGGGUCGCGCGGCAUACGUUUGCGUGUAAUUCGCAAACCGCCGAGCAGCCGACGGCCACGCGAUGGCUACGGGUGGACGGUGGUCCAGUCCAGCCCAACGGAAGUGCGCCCCAGCCCCGGAGUGGCCGGAAAAUGACGGCGCCCCGUUCGCCGAUUCGAAACGGUUUCAUGUCGCUUAUGAGACUCAACUAAUUAGUACUUCCUCCGUUUCAAAAUAAAUGACCCAACUUUAUACUAACUUAGUAUAAAAUUGAGUCAUCUAUUUUGAAACGAAGGGAAUAAUGGCUUAGACACGCCCAGGCCCGGCCCCUCCUGAGGGGGGCAGGGGGGCCCGCCGAAUCCAGGGGCUCCUCCCCAGAUAGCCUUUGGGCUUGCGCUAAGAAAACCAUGGGCCGUGGCCAGAAGUGGACGCCGGAAGACGUAUCGAGGCCUUCCUAUUCCUUUCCUAUUCUUGCGAUUCGAUUCCUUCAGGUUCCAUCACGUAGCCAUCCUCAAAUCACGCGGCAUACCUAAUUCCAAGUUUCGAACCUGCAUACACCGCCGCCGUCACUUCGCGAAAAAUCAAGGAGGAGAAAUGCGGAGUAGCAGCCCUCCUGUUCGCGAUAAGAACUUGCGUCCCUGCUCAUUUUCUUCAAAUUCCGUUCCUAAUUCUGAUCAGCAGUAUGUCGUCUCGCCGAUUUCUAUUCCGGGGCCUCCCAAUCGCUCGAGUGUCUAGCCACUAUUCAGAACGUGCUUUGCUCUCUCACCUUGGGCACUGGACAAGCACACGCACAUCAUCGCUGAUCCAUCGAGCUCUAGAGCCAGACGCGAACGAGUACAAAUCGCUGAAUGCCCGAUGGCCGAUGCCGACUCAUCCAAGUGCAUCUGACAGUGUCAUCAGUUGAAAGACGAAGAUUUUCAAAGUUAAAAUUAUCAAUGAACUAUCUGAGGUCAAGAAUGACUAAUGAGAAUUUUAAGGGCUUGGCAUCAAUAUGCGUCAAGAAGAAAUUAUUGGAAGAGAUUGACAUGGACCUCAUCAGAAGUGACUUUGCAUUGAAAAGUGAUAUAAUUUUUUAAGGAUGCUCGAACCAGGAUGGUACUCCACCGAUGUGACAGCCCCGACGAGCUCUAUCCGGUGCAUUCGCCUUCAUCUGCCACCACCGCACCGGUUGCUCUCUCCGCUGGCGUCGAUCUCUGGCACGCUCGUUUGGGUCAUCCCAACCCCGUCACACUUCGUCAUAUUAUUAGGAGUUUCAGUUGUAAUAAGAUAGAGGAUCACACAUGUCAUGCCUGUCGUGUCGGCAAACAUUUUCGCCUUCCGUUUAAUAACUCCACCACCAUUGCUUCUUUUCCCUUUCAGUUGAUUCAUAGCGAUGUGCGGACCUCUCCGGU